GCUAAGCCCUAAACAUUGAUUUAACCAUAAUACAACACUCUCCGCCAGAGAACUACAAGUGAAAAACUUGAAACUCAAAGGACUUGACGGUGUCCCAUAUCGACCUAGAGGAGCCUGUCCUAUAAUCGAUAACCCCCGUUCCACCCUACCCUAACUAGCAUAUCAGCUUAUAUACCGCCGUCGACAGCCUACCCCUUGAGGGUUAAACAGUAGACACAACUGCUCAACCGUUAAUACGUCAGGUCAAGGUGUAGCACAUGUUAGGGAAGCGAUUGGCUACAUUUUUUAUUUUAAAAGAUACGAAAGGCACUAUGAAACAAUGCAUGAAGGUGAAUUUAGUAGUAAAGUAGAUAAGAGUACCUGCUUUAACAACGCUCUGGGACGCGUACACACCGCCCGUCACCCUCCUCAAAACAAACAUUAUUUUUAUAUAAAUCAAAAUUUAAUACAAGAGGAGGU
rnacentral:rRNA from 1 species